CACACACACACACACACACACACUACCUCCAAUUCCUCCUCCUCCUCCUCUCCCUUCAUUCAUAAACAUCUGUCUUUCUCUCUCUGUAGAACGCAUGAAAUUAAUACAACUUAGCCGAGUUUACUUCCUCUACCUGUUCCUGUAUUCCAGCCUGGAGUUAACGCUGAUCUUCGCGACCCACCACAAGCAUACUCGUAGUUACGACUCGUUGGCGCAGGACCGCAAGUUUUCCUUCCUGGGCCUGGUCAUGGCAAUUACACAGAGAGGGUUUAUGCGAAGUGUUAAGACUGGAACUGAAAAAGCAACUGCCAAUUAGGCACACACCUACAUUGUGAUGCAGCUCCUUGGAGGUGGAGAGCUGGCUGCCUCAGAGGAUCAGGAAACACGAGAGGUUCACAGAGGCUCGCCUCGGGCUUCGGUCGUCGUGAGGAACCUGGUGUCAGCAGUUCACUACGUGCACAGGAAAAGCAUCAGUGUUCACGGAGACCUAAAGCCAGACAGGGGUGAAAAGGGUUGGUGUUGAGGAUAGACAGAAAAGAAAAGAAAGGAAAGGUAAAAAAAGGAAGUUUUUUUGCAUUGAUUUUCCGUCUGCUUAUUUUAAAGAAUUUAUUGCAUGGAAUAUUAUUGAUCUCCAUCAUUUGUAUGGCCUUUAUAAUAAAAAGUAUGAAUUUA